rnacentral:misc_RNA from 1 species
GAAACCAGAUCUGCAAAAUUCAAACAGUAGAUCCCAAGAAAAAUAAAAACCCUAAUUUUACAAUCUCUCUAUCGAUUCGUCUUCGAAUCGAAAAUUUAAGCGAUGGGCGAUUUCAAUCUCGCUCUAAUUAUUGUUGCUAUAGUGGUGUGCAUUAUCGUUUUUAUCUUCAAUGUGUAUCUUCUCGUCAAUUACCAACAUCCAGAUGACAAGAACCAGGCUUAUUUCCC